GGUUGUGGCUCAGUGGUAGAGCGCUUGCCUAGCAUGUAUGAGGCACUGGGUUUGAUCCUCAGUACUG
rnacentral:tRNA from 1 species